GCUGUUCAUUUUUCAUGUCUUUGAGUUUCAAAUAUAGAUAUAACUUUUAUGACAUCCGUCUCGGUUUGUUCUCUUUUUUAUUUUAUACAGUUUAUGGACAAACUUGUGCGUCUGCCUCAAGAGUGAAGUGGUAGCAUGCGGGCUUAUAUAUGCGGCAACGUGCAGGUUUCAAAUUCCUAUUCUUGGUUAGUUAGUAUUCAAUGCUCAUCGGAAAGGGAUCAAUGAAAAUUUUAGAGUCCUCGCACAUUUGCGCUCUCUUCAAAAGGCACAAUACGUUUCAGUCUACCCAGGGCAAUAAUGAUUCUUUCUCGUCCAGAAAUAAGACACCAGACUCACAGCCUCAAGUUCCAAAGGAUUCUACAAAGAAUGCUAGGAUAAAGUUCAUCCUUGACAAAUAUCCGAAGUUGAGGAAAAUGGGCGAUCACUCUAAAUCUGAACAAGCUGACUUGCAUUCCAAAAAAGGUUAUAUAAGGAAUUUUAAUGCCUAUAUAAGGUAUAGUAAUCUAGUUUUUUAUUACUAUAUAAGGAAUUUUAAUAUUUUAAUUGAUUACAAUAUUUUGUUGUUUUAAA